rnacentral:rRNA from 1 species
AAAAACAUUGCCUUUCAGUGUUUUUAAAUAGCCGCGGUAAUUUGACCGUGCAAAGGUAGCAUAAUCAUUUGCCUUGUAAUUGAGGGCUGGAAUGAAUGAAUAAACAAAGGUUUUUCUUUAUUAAAAAAAGUUGAUGAAUUUUCUUUCUUAGUGAAGAAGCUAAGAUAAGAAAGGGGACAAGAAGACCCUUUCGAGCUUUACUUGUUUUCUUUUUGGUUGAGUCUAGUUUGGUUGGGGCGACCUAGGAAUAUCUUCCUUUAUUAUUUUGAUCCACAGUUUGUGAUUGAAAGAGCAAGUUACCGAAGGGAUAACAGCGUAAUUUUCUUUGAGAGCUCUUAUUAAAAAGAAAGAUUGCGACCUCGAUGU